GACGAACGCUGGCGGCGUGCUUAACACAUGCAAGUCGAACGGAAAGGCCCUGCUUGCAGGGUACUCGAGUGGCGAACGGGUGAGUAACACGUGGGUGAUCUGCCCUGCACUUCGGGAUAAGCCUGGGAAACUGGGUCUAAUACCGGCUAGGAGCCAUUUUUAGUGUGAUGGUUGGAAAGUUUUUUCGGUGUAGGAUGAGCUCGCGGCCUAUCAGCUUGUUGGUGGGGUAAUGGCCUACCAAGGCGGCGACGGGUAGCCGGCCUGGGAGGGUGGACGGCCACAUUGGGACUAGGGUACGGCCCAGACUCCUACGGGGGGCAGCGGGGGGAAAUAUUACAAAAUGGGGGCAAGUCUGAGGCAGCGGCGCCGGGUGGGGGAUAACGGCCUUCGGGUUGAAAACUCCUUUCGCAGGGGACGAAGUUUUUUUGGGCGGGACCAAGAAAAGAACCACCGGUGAACUACGG
rnacentral:rRNA from 1 species